CUAGCGGCGCGCUUAACGCAUGCAAGUCGAGCGAUGAGGCUCCCCUUCGGAGAGUACAUCAGCGGCAGACGGGUGAGUAACACGUAGAUAACCUGCCCUCAAGACGGGGACAACCGGUGGAAACAGCGGCUAAUACCCGAUAUGCUCACAGGAUCGGGAGAUCGAGUGAGGAAAGCGCCCCUUCGGGGGAGAGUGUUUGAGGAGGGAUCUGCGGCCCAUCAGCUAGUUGGUGAGGUAACGGCUCACCAAGGCGAAGACGGGUAGGGGGUGUGAGAGCAUGGCCCCCCACAAUGGGACUGAGACACGGCCCAUACUCCUACGGGAGGCAGCAGCGGGGAAUAUUGCGCAAUGGACGGAAGUCAGACGCAGCGACGCCGCGUGGGUGAGGAAGGCCUUCGGGUUGUAAAGCCCUUUUCAGGGGAGCGAGAAAGGACGGUACCCUUGGAAUAAGCGUCGGCUAACUACGUGCCAGCAGCCGCGGUAAGACGUAGGACGCAAGCGUUAUCCGGAUUUACUGGGCGUAAAGCGCCUGUAGGCGGUCAAGUAAGUCGGAUGUGAAAGCCCCGUGCUCAACGCGGGGAAGCCAUUCGAUACUGCGUGACUAGAGAACGGCAGAGGGAAACGGAAUUUCUGGUGUAGCGGUAAAAUGCGCAGAGAUCAGAAAGAACACCGAUGGCGAAGGCAGUUUCCUAGGCCGCAUCUGACGCUGAGAGGCGAAAGCUAGGGGAGCAAACAGGAUUAGAGACCCUGGUAGUCCUAGCUGUAAACGAUGGAUGCUAGGUGUGGGCCGGAAAGGUCCGCGCCGUAGUUAACGCGAUAAGCAUCCCGCCUGGGGAGUACGGCCGCAAGGCUAAAAACUCAAACGAAUUGACGGGGACCCGCACAAGCAGCGGAGCGUGUGGGUUAAUUCGAUGCUACACG
rnacentral:rRNA from 1 species